GGAGAGGUGGCUGAGUGGUCGAAAGCGGCGGUCUCGAAAACCGUUGUACCCUCGGGUACCCUGGGUUCGAAUCCCAGCCUCUCCGCCA
rnacentral:tRNA from 1 species